CCUACGGGAGGCAGCAGUGGGGAAUAUUGCACAAUGGGGGCAACCCUGAUGCAGCGACGCCGCGUGCACGAUGAUGUAUUUCGGUGUUUAAAGCUCUAUCAGCAGGGAAGAAAAUGACGGUACCUGACUCAUAAGCCCCGUCUAACUACGUGACAGCAGCCGCGGUAAUACGUAGGGGGCAAGCGUUAUCCGGAUUUACUGGGUGUAAAGGGGACGUAGACGGUCCUGCAAGCUCGAUGUGAAAGCCCGGGGCUCAACCCCGGGACUGCAUUUGGAACUGGAAGGCUAGAGUGUCGGAGAGGCAGGCGGAAUGCGUGGUGUAGCGGUGAAAUGCGUAGAUAUUACGAGGAACACCAAUGGCGAAGGCAGCCUACUGGACGAUGACUGACGUUGAGGCUCGAAAGCGUGGGGAGCAAACAGGAGUAGAUACCCUAGUAGUC
rnacentral:rRNA from 1 species